rnacentral:rRNA from 1 species
GACAGAGGUCCCGAGCGUUAGGCGGAAUCACUGGGCUUAAAGCGUGUGUAGGCGGCGGCCUAAGUACCUUGUGAAAUCCCACGGCUCACCCGUGGAACUGCUCGGUAUACUGGGUCGCUUGAGCCACUUAGGGGCUACCGGAACAAAUGGUGGAGCGGUGAAAUGCGUAGAUAUCGCUUGGAACGCCGACGGUGAAAACAGUCUGCUGGGGGUGUGCUGACGCUGAGACACGAAAGCCAGGGGAGCGAACGGG